rnacentral:rRNA from 1 species
AACGAACGCUGGCGGCAGGCCUAACACAUGCAAGUCGAGCGCCCCGCAAGGGGAGCGGCGGACGGGUGAGUAACGCGUGGGAACGUGCCUCUUGCUACGGAAUAGCCUCGGGAAACUGGGAGUAAUACCGUAUGUGCCCUACGGGGGAAAGAUUUAUCGGCAAGAGAUCGGCCCGCGUUGGAUUAGGUAGUUGGUGGGGUAAUGGCCUACCAAGCCGACGAUCCAUAGCUGGUUUGAGAGGAUGGUCAGCCACACUGGGACUGAGACACGGCCCAGACUCCUACGGGAGGCAGCAGUGGGGAAUCUUAGACAAUGGGCGCAAGCCUGAUCUAGCCAUGCCGCGUGAGCGAUGAAGGCCUUAGGGUUGUAAAGCUCUUUCAGUGGGAAGAUAAUGACUGUACCCACAGAAGAAGCCCGGCUAACUCCGUGCCAGCAGCCGCGGUAAUGUAUCG